GCAUUCGUGGUAUAAGGAUCAGCACACUCGCCCCGUAGUCGAGAUGUCCAGGUUCGAGUCCCGGCGAGGGCA
rnacentral:tRNA from 1 species